UGGCUAAAAAUUAACUUAUUGUGUAGUCAUUUUGAGUUAUGGUAAUUAUUAUAUUAAUUUAUAAGAUUAUAGUAACUCUUUACUAAGUGAUUAACUAUAAUGUUAUGGUAAAUAUUCCCAUGUGUUAUAAUAACCCAACUAUCGUAAACAUGUAUAGAUAUUAUCAUAAAUUAGUAUAUAAAAUUAUCAUAAAUGGAGGUGGCUAUAGAAUAACUUAUUUUAUAAUA
rnacentral:pre_miRNA from 1 species